GAUCAUUAGUGAAUUUGUAGGGCCUGCCAUACGGAUGCGCAAGCGUCUCUGGCGCCCAACCCACUAUACAUCCACAAACCCGUGUGCACUUGUGUUGCUUUGGCCUGUAUGGGCGAGCGCACGCAUUCAAACAAACUCGUAUGGUUGUAUGUACGUUGUAAACGUUGGACCGUCACUGGCCAACAAACUUUAUACAACUUUCGACAACGGAUCUCUUGGUUCUCCCAUCGAUGAAGAACGCAGCGAAACGCGAUAGGUAAUGUGAAUUGCAGAAUUCCGUGAAUCAUCGAAUCUUUGAACGCACCUUGCGCUCCAUGGUAUUCCGUGGAGCAUGCCUGUUUGAGUGCCGCGAAUUCUCCCACCCCAAACGGUUGCCGAAAGGUACUGUGCGGCGGAGGGGUUGGAUGGGUGCUACUGCCUGUGGUGGGGAAACUACAACAGGCUCGCCCGAAAUGCAUUAGCGCCUCAGGACACAUUCGCUACUGCUCUACAAAAGGAAGAGCAGCGAAGCGUAUGGGGGGGAAAACCACCACCGGUUAUUCCAAACCUCGCCUGACUGUUUUUGCGCGCAUGGCAUGAUACGUCAUUUGCUGUGUUGCGUAGGUUGGUGCGUGGGACUGUGUGAGUGCCUCUAGAGCUUUGAGAAGUGUGUUUCGUGUGCUACGAACUGAAAAAGUACAUUCC
rnacentral:misc_RNA from 1 species